GCCGGAGCUGCGGAAGUCGUGGAAGCGUCGGCGACGCAUCGCGCGAUGGCGCGGGCGGGACAGGGCCUUCACACGGCCUGCCUGGGCCAGCGCCCAGCAGCCAUCUGCAGAAUGAAGGAAUGGGCCGAACGAAUGAAUGAAGCUUGAAGGGGCGGCCCCAUGCACCUCACAUGUAAGUUGGGGGCUUGGUUGUCUGUUUGCACCAAGUGACCGUCUCCCAGGGUCAGAGUAGUUGCCGUCCCUUCCCCCACGUUGGCCCCCCCGAUUUAUGCUACGAGGGGAGCCAGCCACUCACUGGUCCCCUGCCUGGCAGCGGCUUUGUCCCCAGGCGGAUUCCCAACGGCUGCCUUUGGGAAGAAAGGGCCCUUCUCCGGCCGGUGGUGAGGUCACCAGGAGGGGCCCAGCACACACAAAGGCCGCCCUCCCCGCCCCGCCCUGCUGGCAGCUGCCUCUUUGUCCCCAGGAGAGACGCUGAGGGGCCCCAGCUCAGCCUUGGAGGAGCCUGGCCUUCCAUCCCAGAGGGGGCACAGAGCGGGGGAGGGGCAGGAGCAACCCCAACCCUGACUUUGCUCCUGAUCAAGUGGCAACACCUGUUGAGGGGGAGCCCCUCCAGAGGCCUCCCCUGGGGAGGGGCUGUGUCCAGCUGUCUGCCUGGGUCCCCAGGAGAGGCAGGCGAGCUUCUGGGGGUGGGGACGGCAGCUGCAGGAAGGGGCGGGGAACCUGAGGUGUUAGGAGCUGCCUGGGCGUCUGACACUGGUGAGGGGGGCUCUGGGGGUAACCAUCCAGACGUGUGGACCAGCCGCUAAAACCAUGCCUCCCUGGCGUGCACGCGGUGGAGGAGCUGGCAGGCCUGGGGCACUCCUGGGCACUUCCAAUGCCAGCCUCAAGGAGACUCCCACGAGCCCAGUUUGGGAGCUCCUGAGGGUACCCCUGAGACGGGCAGAGGACUGAGGCUCAGAAAGGGCAAGGCCUUUGGCCAAAGCCCCGCCCAGGGUGGUAGGGCUAGGACCCACCCCUGCCCCGGCCUCCCUGCCUCCCCCAGGCAGUGCACAAAGGAGGCAUCCCUCCCCAUGGAGGGCACUGGACACCUCCUGGUGUGGGGCAAAGGGCCCAGUGAGGCCAGCGAGGAGCGGGUGGCAGAGACCAGAGUGGCAAAAGCUAUGCAAACAGAGCAGCGGGGGCUGAGACCACGGGAGGGUGGUGGCACUGCCCGGCAGGUUCCACUGUGUGUUCACGGAGCGCCUACUGUGCGCCUGGCCCACCCAGCACAGAAAGGAACUGUGUACAUUCUUGGCCCACACGGAAUGUGUGCUUUAGCCAGGACCCUGGGUGCCACUGGAGACAGCAGCUGGGGUCUGACCUCUACCCUCAGGGCUGGGGGAAGAGGCAGGGGCUGAGGCCAAGGGACGGAGGGCGUGCGUUGGGGGAGGGCGAGGGCUGGCCGCUGUGCCCAGAAGCUCAGGAACUGUCUAUGAGGUGGGGAAGGCCACCAGGCACGGCGACCUCCUAGCCUCCCUCCUCCUGGCCACCAGCUGUGCCCAGAGCUCCUUAGCAGGCCAUCCACGGAGUGGGGGAUGUGGAGCCUGAAGGGAGUGGCACACACCCUCCAGAGGCCACUGGACAAGGACAGCCAUAGGCGCCAGGGGCCCUGCAGUGUGGCUCUGGCAGAGCCUGGCUGGCAGGGCUGGGAGCUACUGAGUCUGGGGCCAGGAGAGGGGUGGCAGGGGAUGGAGGCUCCACCAGAACUCCAAGCCCUGUUCUGAACCCCAUGAGGGCCCGCCUGCACCUGGGGGCACCAGCCAGGCAGGCACAGUCAGAGGCAGCAGAGGCGGGGAGUGCAGGCGCCCCGAGACAGAGGCCGCGAGGAGGUGAGCAGGCCAGGGCUCGGGGCUGCAGGAGCCAUCGAGGGCACCCUCCGACCAGGUCCCCAGCUGGGUGGGGGCUGGCGACAGGGAGUGUUGAAGCCCCACCAGGAGGGUGGCUGCCCUUCACCCUGAGGGGCCAGGCAGCCAGUGAACCUCAAUGGCCUAAGGGUGGGGGUGCACGCCACAUUGCUGAGGGACAAGUGUGACCUGGGCCCCUCCAGGUUCCCCCGCCAAGAAGCGUCUCCUUCCCUGUUGCCUGGCACCCGGAAUGUCUAUUGUGCCUGUAGCUUAGCAACAAGCCUGUCGCCCCCACUGUCCCCACCCCAUCCAUGGCCGGCCCCCCACCCACAGCUGGUCCGGCAUUCCUCCGCAGGGCCUGUGUCUCUGCAGGCCCAGGGCUUCCAGGCAGGGGCCAGGCCCCGGACCGCAUUCUGCCUGCGUGUGCCGUACCAGCACCCUGGGUGACAGGCUGGGUCCUGCCAGCUACCAGUGCCGGCCACUGGCCUGGGGCAUCUCUUUUUUUAUUUUUUAAUUAUUUGUAGAGACAGGGUUUCCUUGUGUUGCCCAGGCUGGGCUCAAGCGAUCCUCCCAUCUUGGCCUCAGGCAUGAGCCACCACACCCAGUCUCCUUUUUUUAAAAAUAAAAACUUUGGGAAAUAAUUGUCAAAGAAAUGCACCAACAGAAUCGUGUGAAGAAUCCUGUAUGCAGCUCCCAGGAGUCUGUGGCCAGCCUGGUUUGAGGUCUACUCCCCUUCCUCCCCAACCCUGUUAUUCAGAGUUGGAUCUCAGCCACCCUGUCAUUCCCCAGCACUUUGUCAGCAUGCCCGCAAAUGUGGCCACUCCUUAAACUCACAAAACAGCCACUCAAGCUUCAAACUUCCCAACUGUCCUAUUUUGUAAAAGACAUUUGGUUUAUUCAAAUUGGGGCCCAGCAGGGUCUGUGCACAGUGACCUGCUGUUGCUGCCUCAGUUUCUCUCUGGGAGCACAAGGGCAUUCGCAGUGGAGCAGCAGGGAGCGACAGAGUCUGGGGCUCAGAAGCAGACAGUCCAGCCAAACUGGGUGAAACUGAGCUGCAACUGACAGCGCAGCCUCAGAGGAUCAACCAGCCGCUUGCAGGAAGCUGCCAGAGAGCUGCCGCUUCAGUUAAUAAAGGCGGUUGUUUAAGAAAUAAAAAGAAAUGUUUGCGAGAC